UUUCCUGUCUGACAGCAUGGUAAUAUUCUUUCACUUUCAAAAAAGGUCAAACCAGCUUUUUUGUCUGAAAUCUUUAACAGGAAUCUCCAGUCACUCUGCAAGCUGGUGCCUCCCCCAUGCAUUGCAAUAGGCUAUUAACUCCAGAAACUGUGGUAGACAUCUUAAUUUCAGUAUCGUUUCAGCUGCUGCACAGGUCAUUUUACCACAUUCCUGCUACAGGCUGUUUGAACCAGAACUCACUCCUGGGUUAAUUACUGAAGGAGAAGAAUCGGAUGAAAAUGCCUCUGCUCUGUGACCAUGCCAGGUGACAGAGGGCAAGAAUCUUCCUGCAGAUCCAGCUGGCACGUGGAGGAGAGCUGGGGUGGGAUUCUAGGCUGUAUCCAAUGUAGAAGUUUGCCCCCUUUAUGUCCAUAAUUAUCACCAGGUAUCACUGAACUGGCCAGCACAUGAAAAACUCAUACCAGGGCAUGGCAUAAACUGUCUUUUGCCACGCAGGUGUUUGGGGAGAAUGGGACUUUGGUGGAAUGGAGGAUGGGUGUGCCACACUGAGAAACAGACAUAAAAGGAGGGACUAUUCAGCAUAGAUUGUGCUGGAAGGGAGGGAGGGGCAAGCCCCUGCUCUUGGGGGCACAUCAGGUAGUAGGGAGCAAGGCUGUGGGAAAUCACACUGGCAAAACUAUUCAUUUUAGUAUAUUUGAACUUUAACCAACUACUGACCUUGAAAAGUAGGAACAAGACUUUUGAAGUAGUUAUUGAAAAGAUGCAAGAGGCAGUAGAGAUUUCCUAAGGAGGAAGCAGUGGUGAAGGCUCAUAAACUUGGAAGUUCUUAAAGCUUUUCUACCAUCAGACUAAAACCUGUGAAUAACUCCCAGACUGAGGAACACCACAAAAGAGGAAGCAGUGAAACAGAAUAAGAAAGCACUUCUGCUCUGUGGCCUCAGGAUUGGAAAGCCAUGCUCCUCUAGGGCAGGACUCAAAAAGGAUAUGCAAAACCUAAAAAAAAGAGACAGAACAGCACUGGAGAACAAAAAGGAAAAUAAAUUUUGGCUAUGGAAUGAGCCAUUGUUUGAGGUGGAACCAGCUCCACAGCUGGGCAGCUGAAGGACUAGAUACAAUACAUUGAUUUUCAGUUAUGAAAAUGUCUCACAGAGCUCUUUUAUAUGACAUUGGAUACAUGUACCUAAAGGAGAAUUGCCAAUAACAGCUAAAUGGAAAAGAGGAAGAUUCUUUAUAAGAAAACAGAUAUAAUAAAGAUUAUGAAGAUGUAUCUUACUAAGAAACCAUUAUUGUAGGGAGGCUCUAAGUGAGAUAAAUAGUAAGACAGCUUGUUCGUUAUAGCACACUGUGCAUUAUAUAUCAUAAUAACUGCACUGUACUGAUAUUCCAGCACUUCCAAGAAGCUUUACAUUGGUGUUUCUCUUAUUUUCUCAGUAGGCUCCUGAUUCAGGGGCAAGAUCAUCCUGUGCUACUAGAGAUUUGAGCACACGAUUCUGACAUGAUUUGGCUAGUUAAAGUGCUGUAGAAUGUCU